AUCAACAGCCCGACAACCUAGGACAUCUAGGACGAUCUAGGAAGCCAAGGAAUAACCUAGGACCCGUAAGACCUGCUCCCACGAGUCAUGGGGAUUUAUAAGGUCACCACCUGAAGCGCCCCAUAUAGGUGGAAGGUAUAAAUACAACGGGGUGCUGCCUGGUGACCCGAGGAGAUCAUUCACGACACUGACUAAUUACCACCCCAGUGCCACGCAGCCCUCAGCAUGAUGCCUCACACCUUGGCUUAGGUGGUUUGGUCCUGUUAUGAAUAAGACCCUCGCAAGCAUCCAGGACUUAAAGUGCCUGUUUGGGGGGAGAGGGGUAUCCCAGAUGAUCAAUGGGAGUGCGAUACCAGCUAGUCAUGAGGUUUCGACCAGGAAAACCUGCUGCUGGAGGUGGCCUUGCAUUGCACCUACCUGAAGUGAUUGACGAUACCGGUACGAACAGGCAAAAGCUUCAGUGAUGUAGUAAUCAGUGUUGGUGAAAUGGAUCUAUUCCUGGGCAUGUUACAAAGGCACAAGUGGGUCCUAGUGACAGAGGAAGUGGCACCGCCACACCAUACCAGCAUUUACAAGGCCACAUUUUCGAGACUAUGAAACUGGGGAAGUUGCUGCUUGUGGUGGCUCUGCAUCACCAUUAUGUGAAGUGAGUGGCUAAGGGUGUUCUGACUGUAUGACCAGACAAAAGCCUCAGUGAUGUAGUGAUGACUGCUGGUGAAAGUUGGUCUACUCCUGGGCAUGUUACAGAGGCACAAGUGGGUCCUAGUGGCAGUGGAAAUAGCAUGUAACAUGUACAGCUGCAUUCCAACUUAGGAGUUACAUUAGUUGUCCUGUGCAAUCAGACUUAAUUUCCAACUAUUAAAUUUUGGCUUUUAAAGUUAAGGAAACGGUUUCUUCCCUCAAGUGACACUGGCCUGACUGCUUGCCUAGAACUAGAUGUUUUCAUUCAAAAUUUAAUUUUAAUUAAAACUCUCAUUCCUCCACUUUAUGUCUUAUUUACACAACACGUUUCGACAUACACGGCCAUCAUCAGGUGCACUAAAAUCGUUCUGGUGAAACUGCUGAACUUCAUGCACCAUCACAUUUUUUAUGAUUCAAUUCUGAAUUAUAUUUUUUUUGUGUGUGUGCAGUGUGUGGUGACUGGUGUUUUUUGUGCAGUGUGUAUUUCAUUCUGUUGUCUUGUGUAGUUAUGGUUCAUAUUGUACUUCAGAAUUCAAAACCAAAUCACAAAAAAUGUUAUGAUGGUGCAUAAAGUGCAGCACUUUCAACAGAACAAUUUUAGCUCACCUGAUGGCCAUGUAGGCUGAAACAUGUUGUGUAAAUUGAAGGAAUGAGAGUUUUAAGUAGAAACUGAAUGUGUGUAGAUUGUAAUAUAAUUAUCUGUUUGGUGAGGAGUUGUUAUCCCCACGCCCAACC